rnacentral:rRNA from 1 species
CUGGCCUUUUGCUCUGGUGAUUGGUGUAAUAAUUUCCAACAUUCACCGUUGACACUUGAUACUACAGUCAGCUUCUAAUCAUCGUGUAAUGAUACAAACUCUUAUUUUUGACCUUUGCCCGCAUAACAAGUAGGACUACCCGCUGAUCUUAAUCAUAUCA